AUAGCACUUAAACUAUUGAGAAUGGAGGAUCCCAGGACAACAUUUAAAAUGACAGCUAAUGUCUGUGGAAACCCUGGGCGUUUAGGAGUGGCCUAAAGCUAGAGUUCUCUUUGAUUACGGGCACCACUUUCAGAUAAAAACAUAGACCUGAAUGGCAUCAUCCAGUAUCCAAGGAAACCAUUUCUUACAGUACCCUGGAACAUAAUUCACCAUGGCCAGGAUGAAUCUGCUGUACACAGGAGUGAUCCUUCUAACCUGCCAUGUCCAUAGUUAUGUGAGAAUCUAGGAUGGAGCUGAAAGAACUGUAUCUUCCUGGAUCAUACCCAAAAGGUCUCUAAGUGCACUGAUGACAGGAAAAUCUUCAGUGGUUCCAGAGACAAGCUGCUGGAAAUCCUGCACAUUUAUUUUCUAGAAGGAAAUGAGCUGAUGAGGAAUAAUCCCUUCAGAGAUCCUCCCUUUAAAAAACCUUAAAGGACUCCAAAUUAAAGCAUAGCCAUUUCUGGGACCCUAAAGUGACUCAAAAAAAGGAAACAUCACUUACUUAAUGUUAGGUGAAUUUCAAAAGCCUUAAUAAGGGGAGAGCAAAGGUAGGGAGAAAGAUGGUGAAUAAAUUGUGAGAACCUACCAAGUAAAGAAAUAUCUUUUAAAUUCCACGCAUCAUGUUUUAUUUCACUUUGUAUUUCAAUUAAAAAAGGAAAAAUAUGCAUUUUAAAAAGAUAUAUUUUUUGCUAUUAAUAUUAGCACUUAAUGUCUGAGUACAGAUCCAUCAUUCAUUAGGUCUACAGUAGCCCAUAGCCCUAAUUUACAAAUUCAUAAUCACAAGUCAGAUCAACUCAAUUGCUCAAGGCUGUGUAUUUGCAAGUUAGAGUAUACACUGCAAAUUUCCUGUCUUUGGGCCGGUAUACUGAGCAAUGGUACUUUUUAAAAAGAAUUUGCUCAUAUCUUAGAUUUAACAGAGUUGAAAAUGUUUAACCAAUAUCACUCAUGUAAUAUAAAGUGUAAAUUUAAGCAGUGUUCUAGAAAAUUCAAGGCAAAGUAGUUUAAACCAUUUGGCUCUUCCUAGAGGUUCUGAUUUUUUUUUUUUAACCUGAAAAAGUAGGUAAUUACUCGAUAGCCUUAGCUCUAAAAUAUAUCUGACAGGUUAUUUUUAUUUGUUUGGUUUUCAGAAAUCAUAUCCAUGUUUUCUACUCUCUGUAGUCUUAGCAAAAUGAAUCAAAGCCACUCUGUAUCCAAAGGUAACACUAUGGUUGUCUUUUUUUUUUUUUUUUUUUUUAACAUUGCAGGCUUUACCUCAAGUGCUAUGCAGUAAAUUUACAGGGAAAGAAAUAUUUUAUUAAAUUAUAACUGAGAGGAGCGGAUUUUUUUUUAUAUAGCAAACAAAAAAUUCCUUCAUGAAAGGUUAUAAAACCGAUAUUAUUUACCAGAGAGACCUUUCCUGUCUCCCAGGUAAACACUUACAGUGUGUAGACUUGUGUAAAUACAUAUUUAGGAGUGGCUAAAUAUGGCGAGGUAUUUUUAAAGCCAUAUUUACAAAGCUGAAUACAUAUAUUGGCAUUUUGGAAUGUGUAAGCUGGGCAUGCUGCUCUGCUGUCUAUUCAGAAUUCUAGCAGGACGCUGCUAGAUACACCUCAGAUAUGGGGACCGAAUUUCAAAACAUUCAUCUUUAAUCAGAAUUACUAAAGACAGGUCCUUAAAUCAUUUCAAAAGGGUGAAAAUUUUCAAUUAAUGGAGUUCAAGACUUUCUCACCAGUUUGACUUGAGGAAAAUUGUUUCAGAAAUGCAGGCGUCAUUCAUGGAAAUAAAAUUUCUUUUCUG
rnacentral:lncRNA from 1 species